UGAAGGUUAUGGUGAUGAAGGUUAUGGUGAUGAAGGAGCGGCAAUGAGGUGGUUUGUGGCAAAGGUGGUUUGUGGCAGAGAAAUGGAGGUUAGAUAGAAGGGUGUUCAGGUGAUGCGAAGAGAGAGAGGGAAGAUGAUGGUAGUAGUGGUAAUGAUAAGGGUAAUUUGGGAUUUUUAGAUAAUUUUUUAGUGUUUGGAUAAUUUUAUUGUGCGGAACUUAUGUUUCAUGGGUAUAAAUGGUAAUUUUCUUUUUCUAUGGGUAGAUGUGUGAGCGUUUUUAACUUUCGUGGGUAGAAGUGGUAGUUUACUCAAAUGCAAAAUAUAAUUCAACAUGUUAAAGGCAAAAUUACUAUAAUUUUUUUUUAAUGUCAGUUUUCUUUUAUUUCCAUUUUGAAGGAUAUAUAAGUCCCUAGGGUGGCAGGCAGGUGGCUGCACAUUGUGUUACUGCUACUGCCAAUUUUGGUCCAUAACUUGAAUAUUGUUAAAUGUUAUUUAUAUUUUACUUCUAGGCAAACACAACUAUAGAUGAGUGUUUGUCCAAAUGCUGAAGUUGUAAUUAAUUGAAUUUUUGCGUGGCAUUGACCGUGCUGAUAUGUGAUCAAUAGACGCAUGGAUAACAUCUGAGAAAA